UACGUAGGGACCAAGCGUUGUUCGGAUUUACUGGGCGUACAGCGCGCGCAGGCGGUCGUGUAGGUACCUGGUGACAGUCUCGGGCUCAACUCGAGGGGGUCUGGGUAGACCGCACGACUGGAGGCAGGGAGAGGGAUGUGGAAUACCCGGUGGAGCGGUGAAAUGCGUAGAUAUCUGGAGGAACACCGGUGGCGAAGGCGGCAUCCUGGACCGGUAUUGACGCUGAGGAGCGAAAGCCAGGGGAGCAAACGGG
rnacentral:rRNA from 1 species